GGAGAGCUGGCUCCUAAGCCACGCCCCCGAAACUUCUAUGUGCGCCGCAGUGGAGCCUAGAAGUCUUCACAUCCGGAAACUGGGUCUCUGGCCAAGGAAAGACCUGGGUCAGGUUACGCAAGAUAACGAAAAUAUUAGCAUCUUAGCCUUUAGUCUUGGGGACCAAGCCCUAAGGACGAUAGCCUCCUGUCCAAGUCGGACUCGAAAUUUCUAUUUGAUGUCUCCCUGCUCCAGGAGCCACUCGUUUGUGGCCAAAGAGGAGGCAAGGACCUGGGUUUGUGCUCCUUUGAGACAGAGAAUGAACUGAACAUACUGUGGCAAGUUCCUUUACCUGGCGGUGUCCAAUGAGGCUGAGGGACUCUCCCAGCAACUGGAGAUGAGCGGCGACAUCAAUGGGCUCGGUUUCAGGAGCUUUGGCUGAUCCUUCAGGAAGAAGAUCAACUGUGGGGAACAUGUGGAACUUUGCCUCUGAAGGCCCACCACCAUCUUAUCCAGCUGUGCUGUCUACUACAUGGCUGGUCUUGAGUAAGCACACAAAAAACAGACAGCUUUUCUUACACGUUGCAGUAAAAGUAUUUGUACCAGAGUGGGGUGUUUCACACAAUCCCAGGACUCAGCAGACGGAGGGCAGGAGGACCGACGUGCUCUCCAGACUGAGGUGCGUAUUUUACAUAUCAAAGCAGACCUGUCCUCUAGGUUCUCCCAGCAUUCCUCAUUCCCCACCUGGCAUACCCUGCCCCCAACCCUGAACUUCCCAGUCCCUGGGCUGCCCAUUCCCAGAGGCUCCUUCCUAUAGAAUCCAGACAUUUUGCACCCCCCUUUUCUCUGUGCAUACACCCCUUUCUCUUUUUCUCCCCCCCCCCCCACCUUUCCCCAUGGUGACUCCCGUAGCCCCGGUCCUUGGGGCCAGCGAACUUGCCUGCCUGAGAGCAGCUUCCCAAAAACUUUGCCUUUAAUAUGAUCGGAUCUGGUUUAAAUUGGUUCAUUUCACCAAUGGCAGAUAAAUAACCUAUCACAUAUAAUCUAAUCUGGCUUAAACUGGCUCACUUUACCGGCACAGAAAUAAUCUAUCAAUAGGAUAUAUAUUUGACACAAUAAUGCAGAAUUUGAAGGUCGGUGGUAGUGCAUGAUUUUAAUGCUAGCACUGGGAAGAAAGAAGUUGAUGAAUCACCAAGUCCAGGCCAGCCUGAUUUACAGAGUGACAGCCAGGGCUACACAGAAAAACCCUGUCUUGAAACACCAAAACAACAACUGGCAGAAUUUGGAGACUAACAGGAUCUAAACAAACUAAGCACCAGGUACACAAAUGUCUUCAUGUUCCUGAGUUUAGUUUCUUUAAAUAAAACGUAGACGUCUGAUGUGACAGCCCACUGGAAGAGCACUGGUCAGGCAUGCAAAGACAUUCUGUACCAUUCGGGAAUGCAAAGGUGGGGUCAGUCAAAUGAUUUAUCUAAAUCAAGGCAAGUCAUUUCUCAUGUCACGCGUAUCAUUCCACAGAGAAAGCUCUGCAUCUUCUGGGCUUGAACGCCAGACUGACUGUGCCCAGGUUGUCAUGAAGACCAGAGCCCACGGGGAAUGGUUGGCUGAUGGACGCUGUCAUGUUUAAUAAUACACGACUGCUAGGUUACUCCCCAGACCUCUGACUACACCGACAGCUAAGGUUAACACUAAGAAACAGACCUCUAGACGCAGUUUCUAACAACUAGUUCAGCACUAGACGUGAGCACACAGAUGUAAUCGGUUACUUCCUCACCUAAACUCACCACUCUAUGAUCCAACUGUAAUCACGCAUUCUUGUUCCUUCUGCUCCACAAAAAGCUCAUCUUAGAGAAUGUUUAUGUUGUUAACUCAUGCUGUUAUCUCUUUUGUAAACUUAUAAGCUACAAGAAACCCACUCAGACCAAAUAGACUACACCCAGAUAAGUACGUCUGCCUAAGGUUCCCACUUAUUACCUAUUCCAAAGGGGAUUCCUCUGGGUUUCAAAUGUACACAUAAGAAAAUUUUCUUUUCUCCCAAAUGCAAUUACUCUUAUUCUCUACCUAUAAUAAAUAUAUAUGUGUUUCAGCAUCUUGUCAAGUCCAGGCACUUACUACACCCAGGACAGCUCCAGAGAAGUGACCUCCAGAUGUUCAACCUCCUCACAGACGCAGACACUUCUAUUGGACCUGUUCUUCCUGACCUCUCCUCAGAUGGUUCCACAGACCCCGGACAACAAGGAAACAGCCACUCUCCUUAGACUGGACAAACACCCCAGACCCACUUUUCCAGGUUCCCUAGAGACACGUGUCGCCAAGACAAGCAGGAAGCAGUCAAAGACCACGACCGCCCUAUUCCUGCUCCACAUUCAUCUUUCUAAUUUCUUUUUUAAUUAAACCCAAACGGGGGAUGUUAGCAUUCUGUCUAAGCUCCACCCCACAGUUACCUGGCAACAGCCAGGUGUGCCCGACACUCUAAAAGGGGCUGCUGGCCCCUCCUCACUCUCUUGCUCUUCCCCUCUUCCCCCUUUGUCCCUUCUCUCCCCAUUCCCCUCCCCCUCCCCUCCACGUGCUCAUGGCCCGCCUCUACUUCUCUCUUCUACUCUUCUCUCUCUCUGCCCUGCUACCCUCUUAACUCCCUCGAGAUGCCCCACAUAAACUCUAUUCUAUACUAUUCUAUUCUAUACCAUCGUGUGCUGGUUCCUGGGGGAAGGGGUGCCUCAAGCAUGGACCCCCCACAUCUCUACAGAACAUAAUCCCCCUUUAUCUUCUAUAAAUACAACAUCCACACUUCA
rnacentral:sRNA from 1 species